rnacentral:rRNA from 1 species
UGGGGAAUUUUGGACAAUGGGGGAAACCCUGAUCCAGCCAUCCCGCGUGUGCGAUGAAGGCCUUCGGGUUGUAAAGCACUUUUGGCAGGAAAGAAACGUCGCGGGUUAAUACCCCGCGAAACUGACGGUACCUGCAGAAUAAGCACCGGCUAACUACGUGCCAGCAGCCGCGGUAAUACGUAGGGUGCAAGCGUUAAUCGGAAUUACUGGGCGUAAAGCGUGCGCAGGCGGUUCGGAAAGAAAGAUGUGAAAUCCCAGAGCUUAACUUUGGAACUGCAUUUUUAACUACCGGGCUAGAGUGUGUCAGAGGGAGGUGGAAUUCCGCGUGUAGCAGUGAAAUGCGUAGAUAUGCGGAGGAACACCGAUGGCGAAGGCAGCCUCCUGGGAUAACACUGACGCUCAUGCACGAAAGCGUGGGGGAGCAAACAGGAUUAGAUACCCUGGGUAGUCCACGCCCUAAANGAUGUCAACUAGCUGUUGGGGCCUUCGGGCCUUGGUAGCGCAGCUAACGCGUGAAGUUGACCGCCUGGGGAGUACGGUCGCAAGAUU